rfam:Biomphalaria glabrata isolate BB02 unplaced genomic scaffold LGTN_random_Scaffold1358, whole genome shotgun sequence.
GUGGCUGAGCGGUAAAGCGCUUGGCUUCCGAACCGGGGUCCCGGGUUCGAAUCCUGGC